GUACCCGUAGCUCAGCGGAUAGAGCACUCGCCUUCUAAGCGAUCGGUCGUUGGUUCGAUCCCAACCGGGUACG
rnacentral:tRNA from 2 species